rnacentral:rRNA from 1 species
AGCGGCGAAAGGGAGAGUAACGUGUGGUUACAUGCCCAGGGGUCCAGGAUAGCGUCGGGAAACUGGCGGUAAUACUGGAUGAUAUCUUCGGAUCAAAGGUGAGAUUCCGCCCUUGGAUUGGACCGCAUACUAUUAGCUUGUUGGUGAGGUAAUGGCUCACCAAGGCAGCGAUGGUUACCGGGUGUGAGAGCAUGGCCCGGCUCACUGGGACUGAGACACUGCCCAGACACCUACGGGUGGCUGCAGUCGAGAAUCUUCGGCAAUGGACGAAAGUCUGACCGAGCGACGCCGCGUGCGGGAUGAAGGCCCUCGGGUUGUAAACCGCUGUCAGUUGGAAGGAAAGCUUUGUGAAGAGCAAAGCUUGACCGAUCUUCAGAGGAAGGACGGGCUAAGUUCGUGCCAGCAGCCGCGGUAAGACGAACCGUCCAAACGUUAUUCGGUAUCACUGGGCUUAAAGCGUGCGUAGGCGGCUUGGUAGGUGUGAUGUGAAAGCCCACGGCUCAACCGUGGAAUUGCGUCGCAAACCCUCAAGCUUGAGGAAGACAGGGGUGUUGGGAACUUAUGGUGGAGCGGUGAAAUGCGUUGAUAUCAUAGGGAACACCGGUGGCGAAGGCGCAACACUGGGUCUUUUCUGACGCUGAGGCACGAAAGCUAGGGUAGCGAACGGGAUUAGAUACCCCGGUAGUCCUAGCCGUAAACG